AGCAGAGGGCACUGUAGCUCCAAUAAUCAUGGACUGGAUUGACCGGCUCAACAGCGUACCCGCCUGUCUGCCCGGGUGUUCCUUGCGAGAUGUCUCUCUUCCGCAGAUGAUUGGAGAGACUUGAACCAAACAAUGUGGCUCUGCUUUCCUCGGCCUGUCAGACAGAUUUCCAUCCAAUCAUCAAGCUGGAAUCUUCGGCCAAUCCAGACUCAGUGACGGCACAAACAAACACUCGGGACUAAG